rnacentral:rRNA from 1 species
GAUGAACGCUAGCUGGAGGCUUAAUACAUGCAAGUCGAGCGGGAUUGGGUAGCAAUACCCAUGAGAGCGGCGCACGGGUGAGUAACGCGUACACGACCUACCUCUAACAGGGGGAUAGCCCUGGGAAACUGGGAUUAAUACCGCAUAUUAUUCUGAAUAAUAAAGGUUUGGAAUGAAAGCCGAGGCGGUUAGAGAUGGGUGUGCGUCUGAUUAGCUAGUUGGUAGGGUAACGGCCUACCAAGGCGAUGAUCAGUAGGGGGCGUGAGAGCGUGGUCCCCCACACGGGUACUGAGACACGGACCCGACUCCUACGGGAGGCAGCAGUAAGGAAUAUUGGUCAAUGGGCGAAAGCCUGAACCAGCCAUCCAGCGUGCAGGAAGAAGGCCCUAUGGGUUGUAAACUGCUUUUAUCAGGGAAGAAACCUCUGGAUUUACUCCGGAGCUGACGGUACCUGAAGAAUAAGCACCGGCUAACUCCGUGCCAGCAGCCGCCGUAAUAC